rnacentral:rRNA from 1 species
GAAUAUUGGACAAUGGGGGGAACCCUGAUCCAGCCAUGCCGCGUGUGUGAAGAAGGCCUUUUGGUUGUAACGCACUUUAAGCGAGGAGGAGGCUACUUAGAUUAAUACUCUAGGAUAGUGGACGUUACUCCCAGAACCAGCACCGCCUAACUCUGUCCCAUCAGCCGCGGUAAUACAAAGGGUGCAAGCGUUAAGCGGAUUUCCUGGGCGUAAAGCGCGGGUAGGUGGCCAAUUAAGUCAAAUGUGAAAUCCCCGAGCUUAACUUGGGAAAUGCAUUCGAUACUGGUUGGCUAGAGUAUGGGAGAGGAUGGUAGAAUUCCAGGUGUAGCGGUGAAAUGCGUAGAGAUCUGGAGGAAUACCGAUGGCGAAGGCAGCCAUCUGGACUAAUACUGACACUGAGGUGCGAAAGCAUGGGGAGCAAACA